rnacentral:rRNA from 1 species
CCGGCUAACUCCGUGCCAGCAGCCGCGGUAAUACCGAGGGUGCAAGCGUUAAUCGGAAUUACUGGGCGUAAAGCGCGCGUAGGUGGCUAAGUCAGCCAGGUGUGAAAGCCCCGGGCUCAACCUGGGAACGGCAUCUGGAACUGCUUGGCUAGAGUGCAGGAGAGGAAGGUAGAAUUCCCGGUGUAGCGGUGAAAUGCGUAGAGAUCGGGAGGAAUACCAGUGGCGAAGGCGGCCUUCUGGACUGACACUGACACUCAGGUGCGAAAGCGUGGGUAGCAAACAGGAAUAG